rnacentral:lncRNA from 1 species
AUUUCAUUUGUUAAUUAUAUAUGCCUGUUUCUCUUGUAUAUUUUUAGUCUUUUUAGUUUAAGGCAAAAGUUAUGGCAGUGACAGGGAUUAGUACCUGUUUUAUGUGGUGUAAAAAAGUACUGCAAUCUUUUGGAUCCAUUCUAUGUUUGUUUAGCCAGGAAGAUUCACAAGCCUUUAGGAAUGGCGGGUUAAUGAUGUUUGGGUUCAAAUUGGAUUUUAGAUAGUUUACAGGAGAUAUAGGACUGGUACCAACUAUUAUCUGGCGAAUGGUUACGCCAGAAAACUUAACAGUUGCAGUCAUAGAUUAAAACACUGAAAAGGAAGAAGGUUCUGCUAGCAUGUAUAAGCUCUAUUUUUUGUCCUAGACUAAUUGAGUCAUGGGUUUGUUAAUUCCAUUAAUCUAACUGUAUUUUGAGAUUCACAAACAGUACCAGUAAUUUUUCCCCCUCAGGCAAGACAUGACAAGGGGUGAAUAAGCGGAGGAAUAGAGAGAGGAUAUCUGGUUUUGGUCUUUUUGGAGUAGAAUUUGGGACAAAGAACCCUGGUCUCUCAGUACAUGUAGAAGUUGGUAUUCAUUCACAUGAAAUUAUAUUUGGAUUGAUGGCGAGUUUUGCAAAAUCAUGGUAACAUUGUGAUUUUGUUGAAGCUCUAAGAUGUUGUUUUUGUUAAAAUUGUGGUGGUUCACCUUGAUUCCGCGAAAGUCACUGCCGAUCCAAAGUGCAAAACCUUCCCUCUUGUAUUUCU